rnacentral:rRNA from 1 species
UACGGAGGGGGCUAGCGUUGUUCGGAAUUACUGGGCGUAAAGCGCACGUAGGCGGCUUUGCAAGUUAGAGGUGAAAGCCCGGGGCUCAACUCCGGAAUUGCCUUUAAAACUGCAUCGCUAGAAUUGUGGAGAGGUAAGUGGAAUUCCGAGUGUAGAGGUGAAAUGCGCAGAUAUCAGGAGGAACACCAAUGGCGAAGGCAGCUCGCUGGGACGGUACUGACGCUGAGACGCGAAAGCGUGGGGAGCAAACAGG